CAGCUUCCACCUGACAGGUGCUUGAUUUAAUAACCACCCCCCCACCUCCACCCCGGCCCAGCCUCGUAUCAGCCCUGACAUGCCCAGGGAAUAAGACGGCAAAUUAGAGAGAUGGAAACUCCACUUCACUGCAAGCCAAGAUUUAGAUGGUCCUCGUAGCCCCUUAUUUAUAAAGUUUGGGUUUCCCUUUCACCUUUCAGUGAGAUUGGGAUGGCUUGCUGGCCCUAAAUAGUAAUGAAUUUGGGGCUGUGUUCUGCCUCCUGGCAUGAAGUGCUUAAUGAAUGUUCCCAUCUUUCUACAGGGAAAUCUCUCUCUCUGCUAAUUGCUGUCAUCAUCCAUCAAGAUCACCAACAGAGCAGCAUUCCAGCCAGAGAGGCCUUGGGGCCCAGAGAGGAGGGCCACCAAUUCUCCAAGAGCCAGAAAACUCUUCCUGAAAACCUUCCACAGGUAAGUGUUUCUCGCCAUACAAAGAGUAGCUCCUCCAAUGCUUCUCUCAGAUGGGUGCGCUAGACAGGGUCCAGAUGCAAUUUCAAGUUUAUCUCACAGUUCUUGUCACAAUCAAUAUUUGCUGAAUGAAAUGAGUAUAAAUUAAUGGUGAGAAUUUCAUGCACCAUAAUGAGAUUUGAGGGAAGCUAUUUUGGGGCAGAGAAUGGGUUAUUGAUCUCUCUGAAAUCACAUAACUUAGACAACUGUACAUUUUAUCGUUCUUAAGCUCAGAGCUGGGGCUUCAUAGACAAUGAGGUUGGCUUAAAAUUAAUUGAUUGAUUAUGGACUGAUUGAUUGAUUGAUUCUCUCAUCAGGUAUACACAAUUUUAAAACUCUUUUUAAAAAAUCUAUUUUUAAUUUGUUUUAUUAUUUCUUAACCUUUUAUUUUGUAUUCAGAGAAGGCAAUGGAAACCCACUCCAGUACUCUUGCCUGGAAAAUCCCAUGGACGGAGGAGCCUGGUGGGCUGCAGUCCAUGAUGAGUAUAGCUGAUGAACAAUGUUGUGAUAGUUUCAGGUGGACAGUGAAGGGACUCAGCCACACGUAUACAUGUAUCCAUUCUUCCCCAAACUCCCCUCCCAUCCAGGCUGCCACAUAACACUGAGCAGAGAUCCCUGUGCUGUAUAGGAGGUCCUUGUUGGUUAUUCAUUUUAAAUACAGCAGUGUGGACAGUUUGAAUACUCGCUGAGUGUCAGACACUUUUAUCUGGGGUUUGAGUAUACUGAGAUAAACAGAAUAUAAUUCCACCAACUUCAUUAUCUGUUUGGGGGAGAAGUCUUGACAAAAAGUACAUGUAAUUCAGUGUGUGCACUGAUGAGGGCUUGUACAGAAUGGGCUGUGUGCCCAGGGGGCCAGUGUGAGAGGCUCUAUGUCUGAGAUUCAGGGUGAGCUUCGUGGAGGUGGUAAUACUCGUUGGCCUUUUAUAGGGAGAAAGACUUUGCCAGCUGGAGAAAGAAGUAGAAGUAGAGGAGGAAAAAGAAAUCCCUGGGGGAGGGAGGGGGGCAGGAAGCACGUGUAGAAUAUAGA
rnacentral:lncRNA from 1 species